rnacentral:rRNA from 1 species
GCCGCGGUAAUACGUAUGUCCCGAGCGUUAUCCGGAUUUAUUGGGCGUAAAGCGAGCGCAGACGGUUGAUUAAGUCUGAUGUGAAAGCCCGGAGCUCAACUCCGGAAAGGCAUUGGAAACUGGUCAACUUGAGUGCAGUAGAGGUAAGUGGAACUCCAUGUGUAGCGGUGGAAUGCGUAGAUAUAUGGAAGAACACCAGCGGCGAAGGCGGCUUACUGGACUGUAACUGACGUUGAGGCUCGAAAGUGUGGGUAGCAAACAGGAUUAGAAACC